rnacentral:lncRNA from 1 species
CAAUUUUUAAAAAGGUCUUUCAAAUACUGAAUGAACCCUCCCUGGUUCACAAGAGACACAAUAACUGUCAUUGACCAGCAUGCCUUGGACCCUUGAAACAAAAACAGUGACUGAAUUCUGAAGUUCUGAACUCUUAUCAUCGUCACACCUGUGCAGAUGGGUGUAAUUCUUUUGAUUUUCCUCAAGUAGCAUGAGCACAGAGCGGGGGAUAGAUUCACCCAUAUUCUAC